rnacentral:rRNA from 1 species
GACGAACGCUGGCGGCGUGCUUAACACAUGCAAGUCGAACGGAAAGGCCUCUUUCGGGGGGUACUCGAGUGGCGAACGGGUGAGUAACACGUGAGUAACCUGCCCUUGACUUUGGGAUAACUUUAGGAAACUGGGGCUAAUACCGGAUAGGAGCUCCUGCUGCAUGGUGGGGGUUGGAAAGUUUCGGCGGUUGGGGAUGGACUCGCGGCUUAUCAGCUUGUUGGUGGGGUAGUGGCUUACCAAGGCUUUGACGGGUAGCCGGCCUGAGAGGGUGUCCGGCCACAAUGGGACUGGGAUACGGCCCAGACUCCUACGGGAGGCAGCAGUGGGGAAUAUUGCACAAUGGGUGGGAGCCUGAUGCAACAACGCCGUGUGCGGGAUGACGGCCUUCGGGUUGUAAACCGCUUUCGCUCAUGACGAAGCUUUGUGUGACGGUAGUGGGUAAAGAAGCACCGGCUAACUACGUG